AGGCGAAUGCCCUACCCGCUGUGCUAUCACUUCAAGUUUCUCUGAUUAUUUAGAUUCCUUGAAACCAUAAGGAGGAGGAAAAGAACUCUCUCUCCUGAGCAUGAAUCCUGUUCUAGGUGUUGCUUUCCAAAUAGCCUUUUACAUUGAUGAUAGUUCUUCUUUUUCCUUGGAAGAGUGAGGGACAGAGAAUACAAUCUGAAUCGU